AAUGCGAUAAUUAAUGUGAAUUGCAGAAUUCAGUGAAUCAUCGAGUCUUUGAACGCACACUGCGCCCCCUGGUAUUCCGGGGGGCAUGCCUGUCCGAGCGUCAUUGCUGCCCUCAAGCACGGCUUGUGUGUUGGGCUUCCGUCCCUGGCAACGGGGACGGGCCCAAAAGGCAGUGGCGGCACCAUGUCUGGUCCUCGAGCGUAUGGGGCUUUGUCACCCGCUCCCGUAGGUCCAGCUGGCAGCUAGCCUCGCAACCAAUCUUUUUAACCAGGUUGACCUCGGAUCAGGUAGGGAUACCCGCUGAACUUAAGC
rnacentral:misc_RNA from 1 species